rnacentral:rRNA from 1 species
UACGGAGGGUGCAAGCGUUAAUCGGAUUUAUUGGGCGUAAAGGGCGCGUAGGCGGACGAGAAAGUCAGAUGUGAAAUUCCGAAACUCAAUUUCGGAGCUGCAUUUGAAACUGUUUGUCUAGAGGGAUGGCGGAGAAAAUGGAAUUCCACGUGUAGCGGUGAAAUGCGUAGAUAUGUGGAAGAACACCGGUGGCGAAAGCGGUUUUCUAGCUUUUACCUGACGCUGAGGCGCGAGAGCAAGGGGAGCAAACAGG